AGACCCGAAACCCGGUGAUCUAGCCAUGGGCAGGUUGAAGGUUGGGUAACACUAACUGGAGGACCGAACCGACUAAUGUUGAAAAAUUAGCGGAUGACCUGUGGCUGGGGGUGAAAGGCCAAUCAAACCGGGAGAUAGCUGGUUCUCCCCGAAAGCUAUUUAGGUAGCGCCUCGUGAAUUCAUCUCCGGGGGUAGAGCACUGUUUCGGCUAGGGGGCCAUCCCGGCUUACCAACCCGAUGCAAACUGCGAAUACCGGAGAAUGUUAUCACGGGAGACACACGGCGGGUGCUAACGUCCGUCGUGAAGAGGGAAACAACCCAGACCGCCAGCUAAGGUCCCAAAGUCAUGGUUAAGUGGGAAACGAUGUGGGAAGGCCCAGACAGCCAGGAUGUUGGCUUAGAAGCAGCCAUCAUUUAAAGAAAGCGUAAUAGCUCACUGGUCGAGUCGGCCUGCGCGGAAGAUGUAACGGGGCUAAACCAUGCACCGAAGCUGCGGCAGCGACACUGUGUGUUGUUGGGUAGGGGAGCGUUCUGUAAGCCUGCGAAGGUGGCCUGUGAGGGUUGCUGGAGGUAUCAGAAGUGCGAAUGCUGACAUAAGUAACGAUAAAGCGGGUGAAAAGCCCGCUCGCCGGAAGACCAAGGGUUCCUGUCCAACGUUAAUCGGGGCAGGGUGAGUCGACCCCUAAGGCGAGGCCGAAAGGCGUAGUCGAUGGGAAACGGGUUAAUAUUCCCGUACUUGGUGUUACUGCGAAGGGGGGACGGAGAAGGCUAUGUUGGCCGGGCGACGGUUGUCCCGGUUUAAGCGUGUAGGUGUGUGUUCCAGGUAAAUCCGGUU
rnacentral:rRNA from 1 species